CCUCUAAGUGAUAGUCUAAAACUUUCGGUAAACAUCACGUUUUCAAAAACGAAUAAAGAACUGUGGUUAAGGUGUUGAAUUGCCAUAGGUCACCUUAAAACUACAUAGCCACAGAGCUAUGCCUGUUUUUUCCUUCCUGGGAAUCAUUCCCAGUGUGAUAAGACGAAUUAUUAUUUUGGAUCUGGAUUCCCAAACAUCUACAGUUUUCAGAGGCAGUUUCUAAGACUAGUCCAGAUAACUCUAACACCUAAGGGGACCAGGUGGGACUGGUUUGAUCAAUCUCCAGGGAAGGAUGGAACAGGUUCAGCAACUCAUUUGCAAAUAGCCACUAAGGCUGCUGGGAAGCUGCCAUUUUGGAGUCCUGGGAAAGGUUAAGCGAGAAUAAGAACCAGGUGGAGGAAUCAUUUGAAACCAGUGAGAGGGCCAUGGUACACACAGAGCCAGGAUGAGCUCAGGUCCCUGGACAGAACUAUAAGUACAGUAUAGGUUUGUUCCCAUGAAAUGGGAACGUUCACUGUCCAAGACUGAAAAGAACUGUAACUUCCGAGGGGCAUUUUAGCAGUCACCAGCUGAGGGGAGUAAGAGGAAAAGAGCUCUGUCUUUGCCUUGUUCUCAAAGCCCUGGGAAGCGGUGUGAACCAAGGAAAGGUAAACAGAAGCAGCAAAGAACCUGAGCAGUCAGCUUUGAUGUGACUAGGAAGGGAUGUGCCUAAGAAAUGUGAGAGAAAGCGUGUAUGUUUGUGUGUAGCCACGCAGGCACGCAUGCGCACGUGCGUAUGUGCUUGCGUGCCUGCGUGUGGUGCAUGCGUGCGUGCGUGCGUGAAAGAGAGGUUGAGAGAGACAGGGAGGGAUGGGUCUUCGUUACCUCAGCCUACAGCCCACCAUGAAAUUUCUCAGGAAGAUCUUGUUUCAGGACCUGGAGCCUCCCAGUCUUUCCAGAAAGACCUGAAGAUUGAAGACCUCUGGGUUGUUUCUAGGCAAGAGGAAGAUUCUUUUUAGCUGGGCUUCUUCAGGAAGUUCAAGAUAUUGAUAGAUUUUCUCUGUGGGUCAUUGACUUUGCCUUAGGAGGAGUUGCCUCACCCCACCUUCAGGGGAUCUUCAGGAAGGGCGUGGGCUCUGGGUAACAGCAGAGACAGUGGCUCAGCGCCUAGUGAGCUAGGACUGGUCUGUGAGUAGGCGCAUCCUCCCAGGGCAUCUGCUGAAACUCUGAUGGCAGUGGUAACUCCCCAGGUCCUGAGGACAGUCUACUUGGGCAAUACACAACUUUUACUGAGGGAGCCACCAUCACCAAGGACAGUUGCAGAAACCGAGGAAUCAAGGAAAUCAAGCCGUGUGCUUCAGGCAGAGGCCCAGCUCCUAUCUACUGACAAAGGUGGGGAGCUGACAUCCCUCUAUAAAGAGAUGAUUUCCCCUUGUCAAAUUAUCAACUUCCUCAAGGAGCAGCAGAUACAAGAAAGGGUAACCUAAUCGGGAUGUGAAAUCAGAUUGCUGUGUUUUAGUCCCUUGAGAUAAUCCCUCUGCGUGUGAUUAAGUGACAACUAGUUACUAGGUUUGUGCAGUACUAUUAAUAAUGGGUGUUUCUCCUAUUGUGAGUCAAGUUGAACAUCUUUUUGUAUGUGUAGGAGACAUUUGAAUUUCUUUGUGAACUCUGUUUUCCUAUAGAGUUACUGGCCUUUUUAUUCUUUAUUUUCUGAAACUUUUUAUAUUUGAGGGCUGUUUGCACUUUGUACUGUAAGCUGAAAGUGAUUUUUCCCCACUUUGUUAUUUGUCUCCUUACUUUGUUCAUGACACCUUUGCUAUGUUGAAGCUUUUAAAUGUUUGUGUUUGAUUCAUUUUUUUAUUGGAUAUUCUCAAAUUGAUUUUAACUAAGAAUUUGUAUGUUUUAGAUAUUAACUAUAUGCAUGUUUUAGAUUUUUAUUUACUUAUUUUUGUAAUUAUAAUAUAAAGUUUAUGUGUCAUGGUCUGAAUAUUAUGAAUAUUUCUGUUUAUGCCUUAUGAGUUUUGUGUCAUGCUUAGGAAGGCCUUCUCAACUUCGAGAUGGUUUUUAAAAAUGUAUCAAUAUUUUUGACUAUAGACUGUAGAAUGUCAAAUUAAAGGUUGUGCAUAUGUGAAGAAUAUUUAUUUUGCACAGCAAAAUAAAGAUCUGGCACUAGGAAAGUCAGAGCAUUAAUUUUGUAGCCUAACAAUGUCAUCAGGGACUCAGUCUUUACAUCUUUUUGUUUUGCAAUCUUGAGCGCAAUAGUUUAUCCUCGUAGGCUGAAUCUUCUGGCCUCAGAGAGCCACCACUGUUCCAGGUAUCACAUGCAAACAAUUACAGACAUAGGGAAAGGAGGUACCUCCUCAGAUUUCAGGUUUUGAGAAUAUGAAAAUCAUUCUCAAGAAGCCCUGUGGCAAGUCUUAAGUCUAAAUUGUGUCCUAUGCACAUUUCCAGCGUAAUCACUGGCAUUGGAAUUUAAAUUGGCAAAAUGACUUAAUGAAGAUUUAACCCUGGGACUUGAGAAGAGCCUAAGGCAAAUGAUCAUGAGCAAGAAAGAAGGAAGGAAUCAUUUGUGUGGUUUUGCAGAUUUACUCUGCAAAACCAGAUUUACUUCUAAUAUAUGAAUCUUUGAUCCACCUAAAAUAU
ensembl:lncRNA